UAGUGUACCAUUACCAGCCUGAAUGUGCCUGAUCUCACCUGAUUUCAGAAGCUAAGCAUGGUUGGGCCUGGUAAGUACUUGGAUGGGAGGGUACCCCUU
rnacentral:rRNA from 1 species